CCCGGCUCAAGAGGUGGAUUUGAAUUAUCUUCUACCGGACAUUCAUUUUGCCUGGGAAAUGAGUGUCCAGUGUCUUGUCCAGGGCGUCUUGGCAACUUAAGACCUGUACUAGGACAGACAUGUGGCAGUCGGGCAUGGGCCUCAACUGUGGCUUAUCUCUGCCAGGAGCUUGGGGCAUGGACAAAGUGACAUCAGACAAGUACAUGCACAGUGGUGCGAGCCCAUGAAAACACAGAGAGAAGACAGCCAUCUGUAAGCCAAGUGGGGAGGCCUCAGAAGAAACCAAACCGGCCAGCUCCCUGAUCUGCAACUCCCAGCCUCCAGCACUGUGAGAAAAUAAACUGAUAUUGUU